CACUGACUCACUCCAGGAAACAUGUACCAAAUUCACAGGUACAGACCCCAUGCAAUGUCCAUGCAUUCCUAAACUACACAACUCACAACAAUCAAACAAUACACUACACUGUAUGAACACACACAUUCUACCAAAAUUUAUUAAUGCAGAAAUGACACUCAUAGAAAUACAUACACUUAUUUAUGCAGCUGCUGUCAUUGUCACCACAUACCUAGGUCUUAAAACACUUCCAAAUAAGCUGGGCACAAACACAAGACAUCACUUAAAGCCUGCCUGGCAAAAAUGACUUGAAAAACAAAUAAACGAAAUCAAAACAGAACU
rnacentral:lncRNA from 1 species